GGGGCAAAAAGUAUUUAGUCAGCCACCAAUUGUGCAAGUUCUCCCACUUAAAAAGAUGAGAGAGGCCUGUAAUUUUCAUCAUAGGUACACUUAAACUAUGACAGACAAAAUGAGAAAAAAAUCCAGAAAAUCACAUUGUAGGAUUUUUUAUGAAUUUAUUUUCAAAUUAUGGUUUUAUUUGCCCAGCCACUUAUGUAAAUGUAAUAUUUCCGGGGGGUUCUUCCAGAAAUGUCUAAAAACCUGAUUUUACUUUGUCAUUAUGGGGUAUUGUGAUGUCAUUAUGGGGUAUUGUGACAUCAUUAUGGGGUAUUGUGACAUCAUUAUGGGGUAUUGUGACAUCAUUAUGGGGUAUUGUAACAUCAUGAUGGGGUAUUGUGACGUCAUUAUGGGGUAUUGUGAUGUCAUUAUGGGGUAUUGUAACAUCAUGAUGGGGUAUUGUGAUGUCAUUAUGGGGUAUUGUGAUGUCAUUAUGGGGUAUUGUAACAUCAUGAUGGGGUAUUGUGAUGUCAUUGUGGGGUAUUGUAACAUCAUGAUGGGGUAUUGUGAUGUCAUUAUGGGGUAUUGUGACAUCAUUAUGGGGUAUUGUGACGUCAUUAUGGGGUAUUGUAACAUCAUGAUGGGGUAUUGUGUGUAGAUUGAUGAGGGGCAAAAACUAUUUAAUCUAUUUUAGAAUAAGGCUGUAAAGUAACAAAAUGUGGAAAAAGUCAAGGGGUCUGAAUACUUUCCGAAUGCACUGAAAGUAACCAAUUCAUUUUUUCAUCCUACUUUUGAUAUUUACUAUAUCCAAUUUCUGCUUCAUUAAAUAUUAAAACUGGAAAAUGAAAAGUGCAUAUUUUGCCUUCAAACUGGUGUAACGGGCUGACCCACAUCCUCCUCUAGCCUCCACCUCCAGGUUUCUGGACCAGGGGAGACAUAUUACUGAAGACUGAGUCAGACCCUUGUAUUGUUAAAACCCUUUCACACUACGGAGCUGAGCUGAGACAAACUGAAUUGCACUGACCUAGUUCCGCAUCCAGCAAAGUUGCUGGAACUGUGCUUGAAAUAAUAUAGGAGACAGCACAGUACAGCUCAGCUCGGCUCAAUAGGGUGGAAAGGGUAUUUGUGUAGUGUAAGAGCUUCUUGUGAUGAUCUGCAGAGAGAGAAAGAGCUGGAGGGGGAAAGAAGAGGGGGGAGAAAGAGGGG
ensembl:lncRNA